UUUAAAAAUUAAAGUAAUUUAUAUUUAGAAUAUUUUUUUAAUAUUAAUAAAAUUUGUGCCAGCAAUUGCGGUUAAACAAAUAAUGUAAUUUAAUUUUAUAAAUUAAAAUAAAUUUAUUUUAUUAUAUAUUUAUAUAAAUAAAUUUAUUUAUAAUAUAAAUAAUUUUAUUAUUUAUAUUGUUUAUAUUUAAAUUUAUAUAAUUUAAAUGUUUUUAUAUAAUUAUAAUUAAAUAUUUUUAGUGAAAUAAUAAUUUUUAUAAAAAUUAUAUAUUAUUUAAAAUGAAAAUUUAAAAUUAAUUAAAUAAACUAGGAUUAGAUACCCUAUUAUAAUUAAUUUUAUUAUAUUAAUAAAUUAAAUAAUUAAUUGAUAAAUCAUUAAAAUUAAAAAAUAUUGACGGUAUUUUACUUAUUCAGAGGAACUUAUUUUAUAAUUGAUAAUACACGAUAAGAUUAACUUAAAUUUAAAAUUUAUAUAUUGUUGUUUUUAAAAAAUUUUAAUAAAAAUAAUUUUUGUAAUUUAAAUUUUAUAAAAUAUUUCAAAUCAAAAUGUAGUUUUAUUUAAGAAAAAAUGAGUUACAAUAAAAAUUAUUUUUGAAUUAUUUAAUUUAAAUUAAAUAUGAAAUUGGAUUUGAAAGUAAAUUUAAACUAAUUAUUUAAAUUGAUUUUAAUUUAAAAUAUGUACAUAUUGCCCGUCAUUUUCAAUUAAAUUGAAACAAGUCGUAACAAAGUAAAUUUACUGGAAAGUAAAUUUAGAAUUU
rnacentral:ncRNA from 1 species